UUUCGGAGGCGUGGUCUAUCUUGCUCCCCUAUGAUCGUUGGGAGGGGGAGGGGCCAACAAGGUUCCAGAAGUUUCCAGAAUAUUUCCAGCCCUCGCCCUUCCGGUUGCUAUUUUGCAAUCUUGCGUGAAGAUGUCGGGAAUUAUCUCCGGGAAGAGUUUAAUCUCAAGCAUUUCCCUCGUUUCCCUCAUUAGUACCGCCUACAGUCCAGGAAAUGCCCAGCCGGAUAGGAAUCAAAAUUACACCUGUAGAGAUUCAGAAAAUCAAACUAUAGCACUAAACGUGACUUUAAAAACUUGCUAUCCAGCUGAUAUGACCAUUAAUGGAACAGUAGUCGCCAAUGAAGAAGGUUAUCAACCACCGAUAUUAAAUGUAAUAUUUGGAAAAUCCGCUGUGAUUACUGGUUGCCAUAUUAUUCUAUAUCGUUGUUUUAAUAAUGACACUGAAGAAUGGCUAAUUUUAACACGUAGGUCCAAUAUCUUCAUUUAUAGCGAAUGGCAAUAUGGAGUAUGUUCUGAUAAUCAUAUUAUAUAAUUUAUUAAGAAUGUUUCCUGCAUGCUGCAGGGAAGAAACAUUUUUUUUCCUUCCCCGCUUCAGACUUUAAUGCAUGACAGCUUUUUUUCCUGGUGAGGCCGCAUGUUCAGUUCAGUUCUGGGCACCGUGUUUAGGAAAUAUGUCGUCGAGCUGGAAACGGCGCGGAGAAGAUUUACGAGGAUGGUGCCGUGACUCGAGGGGCCUGAGCCACAGGGAGAGGUUGGGGCAGGCUGGGACUCUAUUCCUUGGAGCGCAGGAGGAUGAGGGGCGAUCUUAUAGAGGUGUAUAAAAUCACGAGAGGAAUAGAUUGGGUAGAUGCACAGAGUCUCCUGCCCAUAGUAGGGGAAUUGAGGGCCAGUGGACAUGGGUUUAAGGUGAGAGAGGCAGAGAAAUAGGCCCUUUGUCCCGUGGGCAAGUUGGGACGAAGGGCCUAUUUACACUCUGUAUCAAUCUGGGACUCAACGAGAUCCUUCCUAGAACAGGGUAACCAAAACUGAACUCAAUGCUCUAAAUGCGGCCUCACCAACAUCUUGUACAACUGCAACGUGACCUCCCAACUUCUAAUACCUUGUGGGCCGAAGGGCCUGUUCCUGUGCUGUACCUGCUCAAUGUAAUCCUCUCCCUCUCUUUCCAGCUAUUCGAACAGAAACAAAUGAUACAGGUAACUACACAAAUAUUUGCGAAGAUGUUGCCGGUACUUGAGGGGCCUGAGCUACAGGGAGAGGUUGGGGCAGCUGGGACUCUAUUCCUUGGAGCGCAGGAGGAUGAGGGGCGAUCUUAUAGAGGUGUACAAAAUCACGAGAGGAAUGGAUCGGGUAGACGCACAGAUUCUC